rnacentral:lncRNA from 11 species
GAUUUAUCUCACUUGACCAAGGCACAAUGUAGACUCAUAUAAUGCGGUUUAAUGCACUUAAAGCUCAUUAUAUGAGUUUACACUGACUAUAUGAUGCAGUUUCAAAUUGUAUUAUAUGGCAGUGUAGAUGGGACCUGAGGAAAGCCACUGUGGAAGGGGCAGCACCCUCCACUUCCCUCAAGCUGCCAGGCUCACUCACAUAGAGAGGAACCAGAAAACAGAAUUGGCAAAUCAAGCUCCGGUACAAUGACAGAAGAAAAGAAGGGAAGAGCAGCUGUCUUUCAGUUUGGAUGCUAUGGAAGAUAGAAGUAACUUAC